rnacentral:rRNA from 1 species
CUUGCCUACGGGGCGCAGCAGUGGGGAAUAUUGCACAAUGGGGGAAACCCUGAUCCAGCAACGCCGCGUGAAGGAAGACGGAUUUCGGAUUGUAAACUUCUUUUCUUAGGGAAGAAGCAAGUGACGGUAGCUAAGGAAUAAGCAUCGGCUAACUACGUGCCAGCAGCCGCGGUAAUACGUAGGAUGCGAGCGUUAUCCGGAAUUACUGGGUGUAAAGGGAGCGCAGGCGGGGCUGCAAGUGGGAUGUGAAAUGCCGC